rnacentral:rRNA from 1 species
AUUGAACGCUGGCGGCAUGCCUUACACAUGCAAGUCGAACGGUAACGGGCCUUCGGGCGCCGACGAGUGGCGAACGGGUGAGUAAUGCAUCGGAACGUACCUUUCAGUGGGGGAUAACGUAGCGAAAGUUACGCUAAUACCGCAUAUUCUGUGAGCAGGAAAGCAGGGGAUCGCAAGACCUUGCGCUGAUUGAGCGGCCGAUGUCAGAUUAGCUAGUUGGUGAGGUAAAGGCUCACCAAGGCGACGAUCUGUAGCGGGUCUGAGAGGAUGAUCCGCCACACUGGAACUGAGACACGGUCCAGACUCCUACGGGAGGCAGCAGUGGGGAAUUUUGGACAAUGGGGGGCAACCCUGAUCCAGCCAUGCCGCGUGAGUGAAGAAGGCCU